rnacentral:rRNA from 1 species
UACGAAGGGGGCUAGCGUUGUUCGGAAUCACUGGGCGUAAAGCGCACGUAGGCGGCUUCUUAAGUCAGGGGUGAAAUCCUGGAGCUCAACUCCAGAACUGCCUUUGAUACUGAGAAGCUUGAGUCCGGGAGAGGUGAGUGGAACUGCGAGUGUAGAGGUGAAAUUCGUAGAUAUUCGCAAGAACACCAGUGGCGAAGGCGGCUCGCUGGCCCGGUACUGACGCUGAGGUGCGAAAGCGUGGGGAGCAAACAGG